rnacentral:rRNA from 1 species
UACGAAGGGGGCUAGCGUUGUUCGGAUUUACUGGGCGUAAAGCGCACGUAGGCGGAUUGUUAAGUCGGGGGUGAAAUCCUGGAGCUCAACUCCAGAACUGCCUUCGAUACUGGAAAGCUCGAGUCCGGGAGAGGUGAGUGGAACUGCGAGUGUGGAGGUGAAAUUCGUAGAUAUUCGCAAGAACACCAGUGGCGAAGGCGGCUCACUGGCCCGGUACUGACGCUGAGGUGCGAAAGCGUGGGGAGCAAACAGG